UGUGGGUUGAUGUAAUUGGUAACAUUAUUGGCUCAUGCCCAAAGUAUAUAGGUUCGAGACCUUUGCCCACAU
rnacentral:tRNA from 1 species